rnacentral:tRNA from 1 species
UUUUGUUAUAGUAGAGGUUUUGAAAACCUUUAAAGAGAAAAAAUUUCUCAACAAAAA